rnacentral:misc_RNA from 1 species
GUGAAUCAUCGAAUUUUUGAACGCAAAUUGCACUCUCCUCGGAGACUAUGCCUAUUUCAGUGUCAGCCUCUAAAAAUCGACAUCGUUGCUGGUUCGCGGUGGCGUUCGUCGGAAAUCGGGUCAUCUUAAAUCCUUUUGUUUUAAGCGACUUCAAAUUUUCUUUUUGUUCCAUGUACGUUUCUA